GGUACUGGUGGUGAUCAGGCAGAGGUACAGUACAAAUGCCAAUUUCACUCCAUUAUAAGAUAAUAAAUUAACGUGUUGGCAUAUCAUGGUGUGAUGGCAUGUUGGCGUGCUUAUAAGAUCUUCAUAAGGAAUAUGGGGCCCACCAUAUUGAUUAUUUAAGGGAAAAGAAUGCUGAAAUGUAUUGUUGUUUAUAAUAAGUAGUCAACUUUGGUUUCUAAUCAGAUUACUGAAGAGGAUGUCUAUGGUUACAAAAUUUAGUACCCUGUCAUUUCUAUCAUCAGUGCUUCAGAGCCUUUGCACAUAAGUAAAAGAUUAAACAUUUUCCUAUUGUUAUUUCUGCACUAUACUUGAAUAAUUACAAUUUUUUUCUUAAGGCUUCACUGUAACCCUUAUGUUAACAAAUGAUUUUCAUCAUGUGGAAGUUUAUGCAAUUAACUUUCACAAAAUUUUCUAAACCA
rnacentral:misc_RNA from 1 species